GAAUUUUUUGUUUCCAAACUAAACCUUUAGGCAGACAAAACUAUUUUUACUGCAACGGUAUGCAAGGACGCGAAGGAUCUGCGUCAGCACAGCCUUUCGGUCGCCGUUGAUUUUAUAUACUACAACAAAGUCAGCUUUCAUCAGCCACCAUCAAACCCACAUCAACUUCGAUCACUUCCCAGUAAUUGAUGAUUUUUCUUCAUGUUAUUUCUUAAUUCCUAUAAUUUUUAGAAACCUUAAACCCUUGAAGUAGUUGAACACAGAAACGGAGGAUGUCAGUGUCGUUUUCAAAUUUUCCAGCACCAUUCCCGG
rnacentral:lncRNA from 1 species